CAAUAGCGUAUAUUAAAGUUGUUGCAGUUAAAAAGCUCGUAGUUGGAUUUCGGGGCAGCCUGGCUGGUCCGCCGCAAGGCGAGUACUGGUCAGCCGCCCUUCCUCUCGAAAGCCCCGACUGCUCUUUACUGUAGUGGUCGGGUAGUUCGGGACGUUUACUUUGAAAAAAUUAGAGUGUUCAAGGCAGGCCUACGCCUGAAUACAUUAGCAUGGAGUAAUGGAAGAGGACCUCGGUCCUAUUUUGUUGGUUUCCAGGGCCGAAGUAAUGAUUAAGAGGGACAGUUGGGGGCAUUCGUAUUUAAUUGUCAGAGGUGAAAUUCUCGGAUUUAUGAAAGACGAACAACUGCGAAAGCAUUUGCCAAGGAUGUUUUCAUUAA
rnacentral:rRNA from 1 species